UACGUAGGUGGCAAGCGUUGUCCGGAAUUAUUGGGCGUAAAGCGCGCGCAGGCGGUCUUUUAAGUCUGAUGUGAAAGCCCACGGCUCAACCGUGGAGGGUCAUUGGAAACUGGAGAACUUGAGUACAGAAGAGGAAAGCGGAAUUCCACGUGUAGCGGUGAAAUGCGUAGAGAUGUGGAGGAACACCAGUGGCGAAGGCGGCUUUCUGGUCUGUAACUGACGCUGAGGCGCGAAAGCGUGGGGAGCAAACAGG
rnacentral:rRNA from 1 species